UACGGGGGGGUAAGCGUUGUUCGGAAUUACUGGGCGUAAAGGGCUCGUAGGCGGCCAACUAAGUCAGACGUGAAAUCCCUCAGCUUAACUGGGGAACUGCGUCUGAUACUGGAUGGCUUGGAUUCGGGAGAGGAAUGCGGAAUUCCAGGUGUAGCGGUGAAAUGCGCAGAUAUCGGGAAGAACACCCGUGGCGAAGGCGGCUCUCUGGGACGGUACUGACGCUGAGACGCGAAAGCGUGGGGAGCGAACAGG
rnacentral:rRNA from 1 species